rnacentral:tRNA from 1 species
GGGGAUUUAGCUCAGAGGUAGAGCACUUGCCUAGCAAGCACAAGGUCCUGGGUUCGAUCCCCAGCUCCG